rnacentral:lncRNA from 10 species
AUGUUUCUGCUGCAAUACAUAGCAAAUCGUUUUUCUUCUUACACAGAUACCUCUCCUGGCUCAGAAGACGAACACUCAGUGCAGGGGGACUCCCAAGGCACCCCGACCUCCAGCCAGGGUUGCAUCAACAUGGAGCACUGGAUCAGUCAGGCCAUCCAUGGCUCCACCACGUCCUCCACCUCCUCCACCUCCUCGACCUCCUCGUCCUCCAUGCAGAGCAGGGGCAGCGGGGCUGCCCACAGGCUGGCGGAGGUCAUGGCCCAAACCCACAUAGAAAAUCAUUCUGCACCUCCUGACGUAACCACGUACACCUCAGAGCACUCCAUACAGAUGGAGCGACCACAGGGUUCCACGGGGUCCCGGACAGCGCACAAGUAUGGCAACGCCGAGCUCAUGGAGACCGGGGAUGCUUUAUUCAUAAUUGCUCAAACUUGGAGGCAACGAAGAAACCAAAAUGUUCUUCACUAGGUGAGUGGAUAAAUAACCUGUGAUACAUCCAAACAAUGGAAUAUUCUUUAGCACUGAAAGGAAGUGAGCUGUCAAGCCAUGAAAAGACACGUAGGAACUUUAAACAUGCACGGCUACACAAAAGAGGCCCAUCGGAAAAGACUAAAUACCGUAAGCUUCCAACUAAAGGACAUUCUGAAAUACUGUAAGCUUCCAACUAGAGGACGUUCCGAAAAAGGCCAGACUAGGGAGUGAAAAUAUCCGUGGUUCCCAGGUGUUGGGAAGAGGGAGAGAUGAUGAGGUGAAACACGGAGAUUUUUAGGAUUUUAGUGCAACUGCUCUGUACGAUGCCAUCAUGGUGGAUACAUGUCAUGACACAUUUGUUCAAACCCAUAGAACCAGCACCAAGACGGAGCCCUCAUGUAAACUGUGGACUCUGGGUGACAAUAUGUCAACGUAGGUUCUUUAGUUGUUACAAAUGCUCCCUCUGGGCAGGAGAGUUGUUAGUGGGGGAGGGUGUGCACGUGGGGGAAGAGAAGGCAUAUAGAAGGACUCUCUGCACCUUUCCCUCAAUUUUUCUGUGAACGUGAAACUGCCUAAAAGAUAGUGUAUUUUUUAAAAAUAAAGGAAAAAAAGGAAACAAAAAGUCCUCACAAAAAUCAAAUGAGAAAAUGAUCACACUGGGUGCUUCAGGUCAAAAUGGAAGAACAAGGGCUGUAUUUACCAUCCCACCUGAUGACUUUUUUCUCACUGCUUUUCAGCAUUUUUUUGGAGUCUAGUCAGUGCAAUAAGGCAAGUUGCAAUAUAUAAAAUGCACCCUUAUUAGAAAAUAAGAUUUAAAACUAUCUGUAUCUGCAGGUGACGUGAUCACCUGUGUGGAAAAUCUCCUGAAAUCACAAAAAGCCACUAAAACUAAUAAUAAUAAAUUACUUACUAAUAAGUGAGUUUGUGUUUAGCUUGUAUCUUGCAAACUUUCCAUAAGCAGUAUUUAUCUCUUUAUACACUGGCAAAGAAAUAAUUGGAAAUGGAAAUUUACAAAGUAAUAUUAAGACUAAAUCUGACAAAAGAUGUGUAAGAUCUAUGCACUGUAAAGCAGGCAGUGAUGCUGAGAUAAAUUAAAGAACUAAAUAAAUGAAGUGAUAUACUGCGUUCAUGGAUCAGCAGGCUCAAUAUUGUUAAGAUGUCAGUUCUGCCCUUGUGGAUCAGAGGUUUAAUGCAAUUCCAAUCAAAAUCCCAGCAUUUUAUUUUAUUUUAUUUUAUUUUUUUUCAGUAGAAAUGAACUAGCAGAUUCCAAGUUGUCUUAGCUCUUUUGGGUUCUUUAAAUUUCCAGACACAUUUUGGAAUCUGCUAGUUCAUUUCUACUGAAAAAAAAUAAAAUAAAAUAAAAUAAAAUGCUGGGAUUUUGAUUGGAAUUGCAUUAAACCUCUGAUCCACAAGGGCUGUAUUUACCAUCCCACCUGAUGACUUUUUUCUCACUGCUUUUCAGCAUUUUUUUGGAGUCUAGUCAGUGCAAUAAGGCAAGUUAAAACACAUAAAAUGCACCCUUAUUAGAAAAUAAGAUUUAAAACUAUCUGUAUCUGCAGGUGACGUGAUCACCUGUGUGGAAAAAUCUCCUGAAAUCACAAAAAGCCACUAAAACUAAUAAUAAUAAAUUACUUACUAAUAAGUGAGUUUGGAAAGUUUGCAAGAUACAAGCUAAACACAUAAGCAAUAUUUAUUUCUUCAUACACUGGCAAAGAAAUAAUUGGCAAUGGAAAUUUACAAAGCAAUCUUAUUUAUAGCACAUCAAAACAUGAAAUUCUUCAGACUAAAUCUGACAAAAGAUGUGUAAGAUCUAUACACUGAAAAGCAGGCAGUGAUGCUGAGAUAAAUUAAAGAACUAAAUAAAUGAAGUGAUAUACUGUGUUCAUGGAUCAGCAGGCUCAAUAUUGUUAAGAUGUCAGUUCUGCCCUUGUGGAUCAGAGGUUUAAUGCAAUUCCAAUCAAAAUCCCAGCAUGAUUUUAUUUAUUUAUUUUUUUUUUCAGUAGAAAUGAACUAGCGGAUUCCAAAAUGUGUCCGGAAAUUUAAAGAACCCAAAAGAGCUAAGACAACUUGGAAAAAAACGGUGGAGGACUUACCUGAACUAUCAAGAUAGUGUGGUAUUGCUAUAAUAAGAGAAAACCGGGUUAAUGAAACCUCCUAGAGGGUCUAGUAAUAAUCUCACAAACAUGUUACCUAUACAUAGUGGAUUUUUGAAUAAAGGUUCAAAGACAUUAAAUUAGAGAAAGGACGAUAAUGAUGAUAGAAGGAUUAAAUACUACAGGCCAAAAAGAGAAAAAAGAGCUCGUUAAAUAUCUUCACAUUGUUGGUGUCACUCAUGCAAUUCAAUUCACAUUUUGUGGGUCUAAAAGUUGAACAGACUUCUUCAUUCUCUUUCCCCAAUUCACUCCACAGAGAUGCUGAUGUCUUUCAGUGGAACUUGGAAGUUUGCUAUUCUUUUUAAAAUGACUCUCUUAGAUACUGUUUAUGCAAGAAGUUGUGGGACUGUAACUGGGACUGUAACUUACAAAUACUGUUCUAAACCUUGGAAUCACACGUUUCCCUUUUUCUCUACUUAUCGUUUCUAGUCAGUUUCCCAUUUCCUCUUUCUUCUUCGUAU